GCAUCAAUCAUCAUCUCUGUUUAGUUUGAAACUUCUUUAUGACAGAUCUGUGCGUUUUUCGAAAUGUUUUACGUGUUUUACGAAUAAAAGGCUCCAUCUUUACUGAGUCAACAGCAGGCGCCGCUAUAAUGGCGACCUGACUGCCGCUUGGAGCCCAGAUCAAAUGCCAGAGGAAGACCCAUGGAACUUAUAUAUAUAUAUAUAUUUUUCAAUAGUUUCAUGAUUCAAUACUCUUGGCUACAUAUUCAGAUUAUUUGGUUUUGUUUUUUGAAUGUUUAUGGAUGGGAGAAUAGUGUGUUUGGGGGUUUGUUUUUAAUUAUUGAUGGCAUUAAGUCAGACACGGGUGCUUGUUGGGUUUAAUAAGAAACAGCAGAGCUACCUUUUGCAUUGUGCCUAUAAUAAUUUAUAUUAGCUUCUCAUCACGAUUGGAGUCAAGUCUUGAUCUGAUGUCUUUCCCCAUGGCUUCCUCCAAAUUUAAAGCAGCUACAAUUGUUUUCAUACGAAUGAUAUCUGAAUUUUGUUUCAAUUUUUUUUUUUUCAUACAAUACAAUCAUGGUUUGUUAGAUUCUAUUAGUGUUUCAGUGAGUGAUUUUGUUCAUUCUUGAUCUUGACCAUUUCUUGAUCUUGAUCUUGACUAAUAUUCCACAACAGGAAAAUGUCUAUAUGAAUCGGUAAUGAGUUUUAUACUUAUAUGUCUAAACUCUAAACCAUGGAUUAGAGAAAGCGAGAAAGUACUAAUAGCGUUUGGUGGGUGCUAACGCAAACCAAAAAGUGACCAAUAUCAUGUGGAGUAGCAUCGGUUCCGGAACGAUGGUGUUUCUUGAGGGUGAGAGGCAAUGAAUGGCUUUAUGAUGUUUUGAAUUUGCCCAGAGAUCUUAUGGGAAGCCACCCCAUUAUCUGUUUCGCUAGCUUUGGAGGAAGAUUGAUUGAAGUUAGGGUUUUCUCCGUCUCCUUCAUCAUCUUUGGUUUGUGAAUGUGAGAGUUUCCCUUCGGAUAAAUCCAGUCUUUGACAUAUAUAUAAUAUAUAUGCAAAACUACAACUUCUGUUACUUAUGGAAUUAUAUAAUUAAGGUCCCAUCUCUUAUUAGACUUUCCUUUUUCUUUUCCGAUAUUUUCUAUAUUUUACAAUUGUUUGCCUUGUUCCU